AAUUUUCAACAACUGAUCUCUUGGCUCCCGCAUUGAAGAACAACGCAACAUAAUGCAAUAAAUAAGGUGAGUUGAAUAAUUCGAUGAAUCAUCUCAUCUUUGAACCCUUCUUCUCCUCGUUGGUAUUUCUAGGAACACGCUUUUAUUAUUAUCAU
rnacentral:rRNA from 1 species